UACGGGAGGCAGCAGUGGGGAAUAUUGCACAAUGGGCGCAAGCCUGAUGCAGCCAUGCCGCGUGUAUGAAAAAGGCCUUCGGGUUGUAAAGUACUUUCAGUCGUGAGGAAGGUGUUAAGGUUAAUAACCUUAGCAAUUGACGUUAGCGACAGAAGAAGCACCGGCUAACUCCGUGCCAGCAGCCGCGGUAAUACGGAGGGUGCGAGCGUUAAUCGGAAUUACUGGGCGUAAAGGGCACGCAGGCGGUUAAUUAAGUUGGAUGUGAAAUCCCCGGGCUUAACCUGGGAAUGGCAUUCAAGACUGGUUAGCUAGAGUCUUGUAGAGGGGGUAGAAUUCCAUGUGUAGCGGUGAAAUGCGUAGAGAUGUGGAGGAAUACCGGUGGCGAAGGCGGCCCCGUGGACAAAGACUGACGCUCAUGUGCGAAAGCGUGGGGAGCAAACAGGGAUUAGAUACC
rnacentral:rRNA from 1 species